rnacentral:rRNA from 1 species
UACGGAGGAUGCGAGUGUUAUCCGGAUUUAUUGGGUUUAAAGGGUGCGUAGGCGGACGCUUAAGUCAGCGGUAAAAUUGCGGGGCUCAACCUCGUCGAGCCGUUGAAACUGGGUGUCUUGAGUGGGCGAGAAGUACGCGGAAUGCGUGGUGUAGCGGUGAAAUGCAUAGAUAUCACGCAGAACUCCGAUUGCGAAGGCAGCGUACCGGCGCCCAACUGACGCUGAAGCACGAAGGCGUGGGUAUCGAACAGG